rnacentral:rRNA from 1 species
CUACGGGUUGCACCAGUAAGGAAUAUUGCGCAAUGGAGGCAACUCUGACGCAGCCAUGCCGCGUGCAGGAAGAAGGCCUUAUGGGUCGUAAACUGCUUUUAUUUAGGAAUAAACCCCCGAACGUGUUCGGGGCUGAAGGUACUAAACGAAUAAGCACUGGCUAACUCCGUGCCAGCAGCCGCGGUAAUACGGAGGGUGCAAGCGUUAUCCGGAUUUAUUGGGGUUAAAGGGUGCGCAGGCGGGCUAUUAAGUCAGUGGUGAAAUCCCGGGGCUCAACUCCGGAACUGCCAUUGAUACUGAUAGUCUUGAGUUUGGUUGAAGUGGGCGGAAUGUAGCAUGUAGCGGUGAAAUGCAUAGAUAUGCUACAGAACACCAAUCGCGAAGGCAGCUCACUAAGCCAAAACUGACGCUCAUGCACGAAAGCGUGGGGAUCAAACAGGAUUAGAUACCCCCGUAGUC